rnacentral:lncRNA from 1 species
CUCCGGGUACUCUAUGAAAAAUUCUUUACACAUCCUUUCCUAGAAACAACCAUGUGUUUGCAGCUUGCAGAUCAGACACUAAGUUUCCCAAAGGGAAUAUUGAAGAACCUCUACGUCCGAGUUGGUACCUUAUACGCUCCAGCAGACUUCGUGGUGAUAGAGACUAAUACUGAUGAGAGGGCACCCAUCAUCCUAGGGAGGCCAUUCCUGAACACCUCGGGAGCUGUCAUCUACGCUAGUGCUGCCAAGAUCAGUUUCUACAUCAUGGGAAGGACGGAGACGUUUUCCUUCAAGAACAAGACUACACAAAUCUUAGAGCAAUCCUGACAUGAACCAAGGAAGGACCAACAGGAGGAACAGGAACAAGCAAAUGUGUACCGAGUCAGCUAGGAUGGUCACUGCAGCUCAAGGAGGUCAAGAUCGUCAACUCAAGUCAUCUUUCUUGAUCAAGAAGGACGACCCUGGUGUCCCAAUCAUCAAGUGCACAAUCAACGGAUAUUAUUUUCAGAAGACACUCUACGACACCGGAUCUGACAUCAACAUAAUGGCCGUAGUCACUUAUCAUCUCGUGCAUGGAACCAUGCCCCUAAAACCGACAUACAUUCAGCUUCAGAUGGCAGAUCAGACAUUCCGAAAGGUUGAAGGUUAUUGACAUGGGAGAAGACAAGUAUGAUUCACCCAUCAUCCUUGAGAGACCAUUCCUCAGCACCAUUAAAGCAAUCAUCUAUAUUGGAACCGGAGAAGUCCACAUGCAUUUCCCCUCUGAUAAGGUACGCCACUAUUUUACUAACCCUAACUAUAUAGUUGAAGACUCUAAGCAGGUCAGGACAAGAAGAAGAUGACACAACCGUAACCAGAGGUGGCAAAUCAUCAAGGACGGAUGGGCAGACUAUGAAGGAGAAGUCGUAAGGUCUGAAGACAUACAGCUUGAACAGAACUGUCCUGAGGAGACCGUAGCACCGAGUCAGGUGUGGAGAGAGAAGAUAGUUAUACAUGAAGACCAGGCACCGCCGGAACCACCGACUACGCCAUCCAGCGAAUCCCAGGACGACUGAGAAAACGGAGAGUCCUAUUCGGAGGACUUAAAAACACCGAAUGCCUUGCCAAGAGGUAAACUUGGUAGUUAUCUUUUUCCUUUCAAUUAUUUUAAAAUAGUUUGCUUAGUUAAUCAGGUUCAUAUCAUCUUGAAAAGAAAAUAAAAAUGUUAAAAAUAGUAAGCCCCAUGUGAGUAUGCUCAUGGCAUAAAACCCAUAAGUACAUUCACUGUGGUGGUAUAAAAAUAAAAUAAAUAUAUUCCUGUCCUAUAAAAAUGAAAAUAUAAAAAUAAAUUUAUGAUUCUACUAAAGAGAGUAAUAUUUAUUGAGGAGGCUCAACAUGAUAAAGGCUAGGUAUUUAUGCUAACACUUAACCAGUUCCACAAAGCUUUGUUGUCUAUUUGAGCUCCACAGAAUUCAAGGAUCAAAGAAGACUAGCAGACGGAGGACAUCCUAAUCGCUGUCAGGGUGCUGCCGACAUUCAAAUACACCUCUCCCACCUGCUAGCUACAUCAGUAGGAAUUACAUCAAAAUCCAGCUUGGGGGAGAGCACCUCCAUUUAUCCAGCUAAGUAUUCUACUCACGUUUAUAUUUUACUCAAAUAAUAAAAAGAUGCAUAAUCAUAAAAACCCAAAUAAAGAUUUUGUGCUUAUAUAUAUAUCUUUGCUUAGUUUGCUAAAUAAUUAAAUAAAUAAAAUUUGCUAUGAACCCUCAUGAUAAGCUCUCACAUGGAAAGAUGAAUAGUUGCUCUGCCAUGACUAGUUCUCAAAAUUGAAAUCUCUCUCAAGUUUAGGCAUCACUGUUAUUUAUUAAGAUUUGCUCUAAACCUGAACUUGUGGGAAGAGUACUUGAUCUGAAGUCUAAGUCGUUAACGGAUAUGAUAUGGGAAGGUUGAGCUGCUGUUUAACUGUUCCUAGAGAUGCUAGAAUUCUGGAGAAUUUUAUCUUUGAAAAUCUUUAAAAUAUCACAUGAUGAGUUCCUGUAUGAUGAGAGUUUAAAUUUCUACCACAGCCAUAUAUACAUGCUUGCUAAACUUUGAGCCACACAUUUACUUUUUACUGCUUAUGAGCAUUGAGUGUGGUCAAGCUGUGUAGACCCUUAGGAGCUUGUCAUGUGGUUAAAUCAAGGUUCACUCACACAUGCUGCUUCUACUCCGGAAGUACGCAUCCACAUAUAUCCAUCCAUUUCCAUCUCCAGAACCACCCAAAAAUAUUCUACUCCUAAUCCGGGAGAGAAUAGCCAAAAAUAUUUUUGUUUUUCCCCUGUGAAAUAAAUGCUCAAGUUAUCUUGGUUACUACCACUUGCUAUAUUAUUUCAGGAAAUGAGUGCUCUAAUAUAAAAAAAAGAGAAAAAAAAAUAAAUACGAGGAAAUAAAAAGGGGCAAGUGCCCGGAACCUCGAAAAAAAAAAGAAGAAAAGAAAAAGUGAGACGAGAGGUAAAAAAAUGGACAAGUGUCCGACAGUAGAAUUAGGGGUACAAGAUACCCACCUGAGAGAAAAGAAAAAAAAGAAAAAGAAAAAUAUAGAGCAUCUCAUUCUCCUCAAAAAGUUUCAAAAGAGCAAGGAAGGUAUGUAUCCCCUCAAAAGAGCAUAAGUAGAAUUAGACUUCCACCAUUGUUAUCACCAUCAUCACCAUAUACUAUUCAUUCGCCACACAUGCACAUCUUGAUUUGACUUAUUGACUUGUUCUUCUGGAUCCAUGGUUUGACUAUACAAUAAAUGUCUUGUAAGUAUGUAUUAGCUGUCUCCCACCUAUGAGCUCCAGAUAUCAAAGCCUUAUUAGAGUAGGGUGAGAGAGAAGGCAAUGCCACUAUGCCUUAUACCACAAAUACCACAUACUUUGAGAGAAGGCAUAUACCAUUACUGCCUUGGUAAGGAUCCAGAAAUACCACAAAAGAGAGACUAGAGAGAGUCAUACAAGGAAUCUCUGAGUUUUAUUUAAAAAUCUGCAAAAACUCCAGAGCUAUAGUUAAUCGAAGAACAAGAGACAUGGUGCUUGACUAGACUGUUCUAUCUUUUAACUACUCAAGAUAGAAGUGACGGUUACAAUUCCCAUGGUGAAAGGUAAAUGAGUAAGUUUUAAGUCUUAACAGUUUACUCUAACCCGAGAUGAGAUCUUGUUUAAACGCUGCAGAAACUCUUGAGUUAUCUUUAAGUUAUGAAACCACUGCAGAAACUCUUGAGUUCAUCUUUGCUCAGGGAUGAGCAAAGGUUAAGCUUGGGGGAGCUUGUUGACGGUCCUUAAUGCUCACAUUUAACCAUCAACUAAUCAUAGAAAAGGAUCCAAAUGCAACCAACACCUAGACUUAGGGUUUUAUCUGACAGAAUUCCACAAGUUUUGGUGUUUGUCUAUUUCUGCAGGGGGUUAUCAGGAAAUAAGGAUGAAAGGCCCACACGUCGGGUUUACAUAGAGAUAUUAACGUGCCGCGCAAUUUUCUAUCAUCUAGAAGACUCCAGAAGCCACGGGACCGAAGCGGAAGCCGAGAGGCCUCAGGGACAGGGCGCCCGCCCUAGUCCUGAGGGCGCCCGCCCUCCCCCUGGACCAAUCAGGGUGAAGUUCAGGGAUCAUGCUCCACCGACCUAAUACUUCAAGGAAAACCGUGCGAUCAAUGUUGGUUUGAUCCGACGGCCCAGAUUUACUUGAAGGGACUAUAAAACCAGACCCCCCUGGCCCCUAGAGAUCAUACCUCUUCUACAGAAUCAAAGCUAGGGUUUCAAUUCUUCAUCCAAGUAGAGAGGAUCCCUCUAGUUCUUCUAGUUCUACCUCUAGUUCAUCUAGAUCUAGUUCUAGUUCAUCUAGUUCUAGUUCUAGUUCCUCUAGUUCUAGUUCUAGUUAGUUCUAGUUGUAAUCUAGAAAAUAGGGAGAGAGAAGAGGAGAGCAGAGGAGGAGCCGGAUCUGUCGGAUCUUCCUCAACAUUAUACUUUUGCAGCAUCUGGUUCGUUCUUCAUCGUUCUCCAGGUUCUUCAAUUCAUAAUU